UGCAGAGGUGGCAAGCGUUGUUCGGAAUUACUGGGCGUAAAGGGCGCGUAGGCGGCCUUCUAAGUCAGACGUGAAAUCCCCCGGCUUAACCUGGGAACUGCGUCUGAUACUGGGAGGCUUGAGUAUGGGAGAGGGAUGUAGAAUUCCAGGUGUAGCGGUGAAAUGCGUAGAUAUCUGGAGGAACACCGGUGGCGAAGGCGGCAUCCUGGACCGGUAUUGACGCUGAGGCGCGAAAGCCAGGGGAGCAAACGGG
rnacentral:rRNA from 1 species